rfam:Anaerococcus lactolyticus ATCC 51172 genomic scaffold SCAFFOLD2, whole genome shotgun sequence.
GGGGAUGCCAUGGUUUCGACGUGAUUGAAGAAGCUUAGGCUGCAGGUCGUAUAUCAAAACGUAAAUUGAUAAUUAAAUAUAAACGCAAACAAUAAUAGCGAAGCAAACUUCGCACUAGCUGCCUAGUAAUAGGACAAGCAAUAAAUAUUAGGUCCGUCGCAGACUUAAUAUUUGUUUUAUAAUCUAGCGACAACUGGUAUAUCAAAGCUUUGCGAUAUAUCUAGUACUAUGAAGCUAGCAUAAAAAUUUUUUGUAGAUUUUUCAUUUUUUAUGCAAAUUUAAAAGAUCUAAUAAGCUUGUAGAUGCCUUCGGUGAUGCUUUCACGGACAAGGGUUCGACUCCCUUCAUCUCCACCA